UAAGUUAAAUUAUGUUUACCUUUGAGCGAUAUGUAUGAUGACUAAUGGUGAGAUUGUUGUUGUAUAUUUAUUUAUAUGUAACUUACUAAGCUUUAUGCUUACCCUCUUUCCUUUCCCUCUUCUUUCAGUGUUAUCAAACUAACUUAAAGAUCCCUUAAAGUCAGAGAUAUCGAUCACACUAUCGGCCGCAAUAUCCAGUAUAGUUGGAUUUAUAUUUUUUAUGGUAGCAUGUAUAGGGCUAGACUAGGAUGUUGUAUUAAGAGAAUGAUUCAUGUAUUUUGGCUUAAGUCAAAGGCCCUUCAUUUUGUAAUCAAGCCUGGAAUAAUGGCUAUUAUUCAUUUUGAUAAAUGCAUAUAAUGUUCUUUCUAUGGAUGAAUUAGUGCCCAUUGUGAUGAGACUUAUAUAUUGAAAUGAUCUUGUGUAGGUUGUGCAAAAUGGGUGACAAAAGGGCUUGGGAAAUAGCCUAGUUUGUCCACAUGGGUAAGACACACGGGCGUGUGUCUAGGCCGUGUGUGACACACAGUUCACACCCAUGGGUGUGUGUUAUGGCCGUGUGUUCCCUGCACUUAAAUAUUUAUAGUCAUUAUAGCACACGGGUAGGCACACGGGCGUUUGCCCAGGCCUUUUCAUAAAGUCAGUAUGCAUGCUUGUAGUACACGGAUAAAAGAUACGACCGUGUGUAUCGACCGUGUGAAGGACGCGAUUAUAGGGCACGGUUGUGUUCAUGGAUCGUGUGGUUUUGGCAGAAUGCUUAUGAUUUCAGACACGGGUUCGAGACACGGGUGUGUCCCUGGCAUACAGUCGUGUGUUCUAUGCCCACACGGGCGUGUGGAGUCUUGAUGCACAAAAUUUUCUAAGUUUUCACGAGGUCUCGAUUAGGUUUCAAACAACCCUGGAUUUAUGAUUGGGCCUCGUAAGCCUAUAUACAAGAUAGUUGCUUGUGAAAAGAGAAGUUUUUAAAUUGUUUAAAAUUUCACGGCCCAGUUUUACACAGUUGGUUGAGUUUAAGUUAGGUAGCACCAUGAACCCUAUCCUAGCGUCGGAUACGGGUGAGGGCUGUUACAUUUGGUGGUAUUAGAGCAUGGUUUAGUCAAUUUUAGGACUAAACUAGCUAGAGUACAAGUCUAGCUAUACAUGCCACGUAUAUGCAUAUUAAUAGUGUGAUGAUUCUUGAUAAUUAUAAAUUGUUUUUAUUAUAGUAAUGGAUCCUAAUAGAACCAUGACAGAUGACGUGGAAAGUAAUGUGUCGGCUCCUGCAAAAGGAACCGUGCCGAUUGAGAGUGAGCCCGUAAGUAUGGGCUAAGGCGGAGGGGCUAGGGAAGCCUACCUCCUAAUAAUGGAUGCUUGGUAUAUGGAGUUUGUUCGUGCGAACCCAAAAACUCCACCUUCCCCACCUCCUCUGAUUCCUCAAUAUUCCUCGAUAGCUCCACAAGGUGCGGAUGUGUUCAGACGAGAGAAGCCUCCGGUAGACAAGAUCCGGAAGCAAGGGGCCAAGGAAUUUUGGGCUAGUGUAAAUGAUGACCCAGAGAGAGUAGAGUUUUGGCUAGAGAAUACCAUGAGGGUAUUCGAUGAACUGUCAUUCACACCUGAAGAGUGCGUGAAGUGUGCCGUGUCACUUUUUUGAGACUCGGCUUAUCAGUGGUGGAACACUCUCUUGUCUUUAAUACCGAAAGAAAGAGUAACUUGGGAAUUCUUCCAAGAAGUACAUUAGCCAAAGGUUUAUGGACCAGAAAAGAAAGGAAUUUCUAGAGUUGAAGCAAUGUAAUAAGACUGUGACAGAGUAUGAGUGGGAGUUUCUGAAACUCAGCAAGUAUGCGCGGGAGUGCGUAUCCACUAAAGCUACCAUGUGUAAGAGGUUUGAGGAUGGCCUCAAUAAAUACAUUCGAGUAUUUGUGGGCAUCUUGGAGUUAAGAGAAUUUGUAGUGCUCAUUGAGAGAGUGUGCAAAGCAGAAGAGCUAGUGAAAGAGAGGAGGAAAGCAACCAGCGAGUCGCGAGAUUUAAAGAAAAGACAGAUGGGGAGGGCAUAUCAGUCCUCCUCCAAGAGAUCAAAAGAAUUUACUACCCGAUCGAAUACUUCGGUGGGGUACUCGAAGAGAAAUAAGAAUCAAAAGAACAUGGCGUCUAAAGCCCAAACUACUUCAGUUGCAAGUGUUUGUAGUGCUCGGCCAAAUAGGCCAGAGUGUUUGCAAUGUGCAAGACGUCACUUGGGCGAAUGCCGAGUAAAUGAGAGUGGCUGUUUCAAGUAUGGGUCACUUGACCACUUUAUCCGCGAGGGUCUUGAGAUGGACGAGAGAGAGAGAAAACAAGAUGCGAAAGCAAGAAGUGCUCCCUUUACGGGUAGGCCUCAAAGGAACCCUGGGAGUGGGAUUGGUAGUAGAGGUGCGCCGAGAGAUACUGGGAUGAGGUCUGAAGGUAAAGCACCAGCGAGGACCUAUGCUAUACGAGCCUGGGAAGAGGUAGAGUCUCCAGACGUGAUUAUGGGUACCUUUUCUAUUCAUGACAUAACUGUUUUCGCUUUAAUUGACCCAGGAUCUACCCAUUCUUAAAUGUGUAUUGAUUUGAUACCUCGUAUAGACAUGCUUAUAGAGUCCACUGAGUUUGUUAUGAAAGUGUCUAACUCGUUAGGCAAGCAUGUAUUAGUGGACCAAAUAUGUAAAAAUUGUCCUUUGGCGAUUAGAGGCUAUUGUUUUCAGGUCAACUUGAUGUUUUUGUCGUUUAACGAAUUCGAUGUAAUUCUUGGGAUGGAUUGGCUGACCUCCCAUGGCAUUGUAGUAGACUGUGGGAGAAAAGUAAUUCAGUUAAGAUGUGAGAAUGGUAAAGUUCUUCGAGUUGGGCCAGAUAAGUCAGAUAACCGCCUGUGGUAAUAUCGUCUUUGACCGCUGAAAAAUAUUUGAGAAGAGGUUAUGAAGCUUAUUUAGCUUUUGUACUGAAUACCCAAGUGUCCAAAUCGAAGAUUGAGUCAGUACCAGUGGUUUAUGAGUUUAUAGAUGUCUUUUCGGAGGAGUUACCAGGGUUACCCCCAAAGAUAGAGGUUGAGUUUGGUAUCGAGUUGGCUCCUGGUACGAUGCCAAUCUCGAUUACACAAUAUAGGAUGGCCCCCACUGAGUUAAAGGAGUUGAAAGUACAGUUGCAAGAGUUAACAGAUAAAGGUUUUGCUGGACCGAGUUAUUCACCAUGGGGUGCUCUAGUACUUUUUGUGAAAAAGAAAGACGGAACGAUGAGGUUAUGUAUCGACUACAGACAGCUUAACAAGGUGACAGUGAAGAAUAAGUAUCCCUUACCGAGGAUUGAUGAUCUCUUCAAUCAAUUGAGAGGGGCCACUGUAUUCUCUAAGAUAGACUUGAGAUCAAGUUACUACCAGUUAAGGGUUAAGGAGCAAGACGUGCCGAAAACUGCUUUUCGGACAAGAUAUGGGCAUUACGAGUUUCUUGUUAUGCCUUUUGGAUUAACGAAUGCCCCGGCAGUGUUUAUGGAUUUGAUGAACCGCAUCUUCCAGCCGUACUUGGAUAAGUUUGUUGUCAUUUUUGUCGACGCCAUAUUGAUUUAUUCGAGUGAUGAGAGUGAGCAUGCGGAACUAUUGAGAACUGUGUUACAGACUUUGAGGGAUAAACAACUCUAUGCUAAGUAUAGUAAGAGUGAAUUUUGGCUUAAGGAAGUUGGAUUUCUAGGACACAUAGUGUCGGGAGACGGGAUCAGAGUUGAUCCAAAUAAGAUCUCAGCUAUUGUAGAAUGGAAACCGCCAAGGAAUGUGACAGAGGUCCACAGUUUUCUGGGGCUAGCAGGAUACUGUAGACGAUUUGUAAAUGGAUUCUUCAUGAUAGCUACACCGAUAAUGAGGCUAUUGCAGAAAGAUGUCAAGUUCGAAUGGACAGAAGAGUACCAACAAAGCUUCAAGAGAUUAAAGGCUUUGUUGACUGAAGCCCCAAUUUUAGUGCAUCCUAAGUCAGGCAAGGAAUUUGUAGUUUUUAGUGAUGCCUCCCUAAAUGGUUUAGGGUGUGUGCUAAUGUAAGAAGGCAAGGUUAUAGUCUAUGCCUCAAGGCAGCUAAAACUUCAUGAGAAGAAUUACCCGACCCAUGAUUUAGAGCUAGCAGCUAUGGUGUUUGCACUAACGAUUUGGCGACAUCAUUUAUAUGGUGAGAGAUGCCGAGUAUUUACUGAUCACAAGAGUUUAAAGUAUCUAAUGACUCAGAAAGAAUUGAAUUUCAGGCAACGACGGUGGUUAGAGCUAAUAAAAGAUUAUUAGUUGAUUAUCGACUAUCAUCCGGGAAAGGCGAAUGUAGUCAUCGACGCUUUGAGCAGAAAGUUGUUGGUUGCUUUGAGAGCUUUGAACGCUCAGUUGACCGUAUCUAAUAAUGGUUCGAUCUUAGCAGAGUUGAGAGCCAGACCGAAUUUUCUUCAUGAAAUCUGAGAAGCUCAGAAAAAUGAUGAAAAGUUACAAGCCAGGAAAAAUUAGUGUGAGUCAGAUGUUGAAUCAGAUUUUUAGAUUGGUACCGACGGAUGUUUAAUGUUCAAAAAUAGAAUUUGUGUUCCUAAAGAUAGGGAGCUCGUUCAGAAGAUUUUACGAGAAGCACAUAGUGGUAGUUUGUCCGUCCACCCGGGUAGCGUAAAAAUGUAUAACAACCUAAAGAAAAUGUAUUGGUGGUCGGGAAUGAAAAGGGAUAUUUCAAAGUUUGUUUCCAAGUGUUUAGUAUGUUAGCAAGUAAAGGCUUAACACCAAGUACCUUCUGGGCUAUUUCAGCCUAUUAUAGUUCCAAAGUGGAAAUGGGAUCGUAUCACUAUGGAUUUCGUAACCAGUUUGCCAUUAACCGCGAAAAAGAAAAAUAUUGUAUGGGUUAUUGUCGACAGAUUAACUAAGUCAGCCCACUUCAUACCAGUGUGUACCGACUACUCUUUUGAAAAAUUAGCUGACUUGUAUGUUUUUGAGAUUGUGAGGCUACAUGGUGUACCAUUGUCGAUUGUUUCAGAUCGCAACCCAAGAUUCACCUCAAGGUUUUGGAAAAAGUUACAAGAGGAUCUAGGAACCAAGUUAAGUUUUAGUACGGCUUUUCACCUAUAGAUUGACAGACAAUCGGAAAGGGUAAUACAGAUCUUAGAGGACGUGCUAAGAUGUUGCGUCCUUGAAUUUCAAGGAAGUUGGGAAAAAUACUUACCAUUGGUUGAAUUCGCCUACAACAACAGCUAUCAGUUGAUUCUAAAAAUGGCACUUUAUAAGGCCUUGUACGGGCGAAAGUGCCGAACGCCCUUGUAUUGGAUAGAGUUGAGAGAGAGUCAGAUUCACGGGGUUGAUUUGGUCAAAGAGGCUGAGGAAAAAGUUAAACUGAUUCGGGAAUGCCUAAGAGCUGCUUCGGAUAGGCAGAAACCCUACGCGGAUUUGAAGCGAAAGGACAUCAAGUUUGAGGUCGGUGAUAAAGUAUUCUUGAAAGUUUCUCCUUGGAGGAAAAUCCUCAGAUUUGGUAGAAAAGGCAAGUUAAACCCUCGUUUCAUAGGACCUUAUGAAAUUACCGAGAGAGUAGGGCCUAUGGCCUACAGAUUGAAAUUGCCGCCAGAGUUAGAAAAGAUUCACGACGUGCUUCACGUGUCUAUGUUACGUCGAUACAGAUCUGACCCUUCACAUGUAAUUGCGCCUAUUGAAGUUGAAAUCCUUCCAGAUAUGACUUAUGGUGAAGAACCGGUCAAGAUCUUAGCUCGAGAGGCUAAAUAAUUAAGAAAUAAGGAUAUACCACUUGUGAAAGUUUCGUGGCAUAGACAUGGAGUCAAGAAAGCCACAUGGGAACUCGAGGAGUCUCUGAGAGAACAGUAUCCGAAUUUAUUCACUGGUAAGAUUUUCGAGGACGAAAAUCCCUAAGGGGGGAGAAAUGUAACAGCCCAAUUUAGGGCCUAGUCAGAAUAGUGGUCUCGGGACCACAAAUUUGAAGUUAGAAAAAAAAUUAUUCUAUUAUUUUUAUGAGGUUAUAGUAUGAUUUUAUUAGUGUAUGAAAAAUUUGGUGAGCUAAUUUUAAUGUUUCCUAGCCCAAUUUCGAAAAAGGACUAAAUCGCAUAAAAGGCAAAAAUUGCAUUUUAGUACCCAAAUGAGUUAAAUAGCUAAAAAACCUUAAAUUGAGGGCUUUUAAAGGGCAAGUACACCCUUUUUAUUAGUGUUGGCUGGCCAUGUGAUGGGUUUUAAGCAAUUAGUCAAAGUAUUAGGUGGAUGAUGUCAUUAUUUGGUGAUAAAAUAAUGCCUAAAAGCCUAGCUAUCAUUUCUUUCUUCUCCAUCUCUCUUCUCCACCAAAAAUAUCAGAAUAAAUGGAGUUUUGAAGGCUGAAAAUUUUCAGCAACUAAAAUCCCUCAUAAGUAAGUGAUUCCCGCACCCUUUGUUGAUGAUUUUUGCAUUUUCGAGGCCCUUGAAACAUGAGUUUUCAAAUGAGGGUGAUAUCUUGCAAAAUGGUCAAGAGUUUAGAGUGUUUACAUGAAAUUAUUUGAGAUUUUUAUUGAGUUUUUAUGGAGGAAUAUGAGUCCUAGUUGUGUUAUAAACAACUUUUGUAAAAGGUGUUAGCAUGAAAACUCCUAAAGGGGCUAUUUUGCAUAAGUUGUAAAAUAGUUAAUAAGUAUGUGAAAUAGUGAUAAUUUGAAGUUGCUAUAAUAGUAAAAAAAGUUCGAUUAGGCCUAAGAUACAACGAAAUUCGAUGAAAAUCGAUUUUCAGGCAUAGGGGUAAAAUAGUCAUUUUGCCAAAGUCUAGGGGCAAAAUGGUCAUUUUACCAAAGUUGUAAAUUUAUGAUUGCUUAUCAUUAUAGAUCAAGAAUUACCAAAUCCGAACCUAGAUCGGGGGAAGGCCAAGCAAACCGACUAAACUGAAUAGCCAAGUACUUUUUAUAAACCGAGGUAAGCUGUAUGUAAAUGAUACAACUACACUGUUAAUACUGGAAUUCAUAUCACCAUUGAAUUGAUAUUUUAUGAGUUUUCAAGUUAUGAAUUGAGAAUGUCUAGUAAUAUUUGAGAUAAUGGAAACAUCCAGUUGAAACAUUAGAAUACGAACUGGAUAUUCGUGCCAAGGCAUUCGGUGAUUUGUGCACCAGUGUAAGACAUGUCUGGGACAUACUUCGGCCACAUUAUGAGAGCCAAUGUAAGACCAUGUCUAGGACAUGGUAUCAGCACAGAGAUGAGUGCCAGUGUAAGACAUGUCUGGGACAUGCAUCGGCUAAGAGUUGUGCUAGUGUAAGACAUGUCUGGGACAUGCAUCAGCACGCGUAUAUGAGAGCUAGUGUAAGACCAUGUCUGGGACAUGGCAUCGGCAAUAUAUCCCAUGUUGAAGGUUCAUAGAAUAUUUAGUAGUAUUCCAAAUGUUUCAAUGAUGAGAGUUAUAGAUCAAGUUUGAUAAAGAAAGAAUAAUCAUGUGUGAGUGGUACAUGUACCUAUAUGGUAAGCAUGAGUAACAAGCUUAAUUUAGAGAAUGUGACUCGAGUAGAUGAGAAUGAGUAAGUUCAAUUACGCCUACCUUUGAGCGAUAAGUAUGAUGACUAAUGGUGAGAUUGUUGUUGUAUAUUUAUUUAUAUGCAACUUACUAAGCUUUAUGCUUACCCUCUUUCCUUUCCCUCUUCUUUCAGUGUUAUCAAGCUAACUUAAAGAUCCCUUAAAGUCAAAGAUAUCGAUCACACUAUCGGCCGCAAUACCCGGUAUAGUUGGAUUUAUAUUUUUGAUGGUG
rnacentral:lncRNA from 1 species